rnacentral:rRNA from 1 species
AUAUCAAUAAGCGGAGGAAAAGAAACCAACAGGGAUUGCCCUAGUAACGGCGAGUGAAGCGGCAACAGCUCAAAUUUGAAAUCUGGCUCUCGGGCCCGAGUUGUAAUUUGUAGAGGAUGCUUUUGAUGCGGUGCCUUCCGAGUUCCCUGGAACGGGACGCCAUAGAGGGUGAGAGCCCCGUCUGGUUGGAUGCCAAAUCUCUGUAAAGCUCCUUCGACGAGUCGAGUAGUUUGGGAAUGCUGCUCUAAAUGGGAGGUAUAUGUCUUCUAAAGCUAAAUACCGGCCAGAGACCGAUAGCGCACAAGUAGAGUGAUCGAAAGAUGAAAAGCACUUUGAAAGAGAGUUAAAAAGUACGUGAAAUUGUUGAAAGGGAAGCGUUUAUGACCAGACUUGGGCUUGGUUAAUCAUCUGGGGUUCUCCCCAGUGCACUUUUCCAGUCCAGGCCAGCAUCAGUUUUCGCCGGGGGAUAAAGGCUUCGGGAAUGUGGCUCUCUCCGGGGAGUGUUAUAGCCCGUUGCGUAAUACCCUGGCGGGGACUGAGGUUCGCGCAUCUGCAAGGAUGCUGGCGUAAUGGUCAUCAACGACCCGUCUU